GUCACCAGAGGUGUGAGCGGAGCACAAGGAACCAGGGGCUCAGAGAUGUUUGCCGACUCCUCGUUGACAGAUGAGGAGACACGCUCCAGGGGGAGAUGCGGAUGCUUCAGGAACACGGUGACAAUGCCAAUGCUGGACCUGAGCGCGGCUGCUCCGGCUCCUGCAGGGGAACCCGAUGUCCCCUCCGACCCACCACCCUGUCGCCACCACCUGCUGUCGCAGCCACGGGCCGCCCUGCACGGCCUGAGAACCCUUUGGGUCUCUGCU